ACGGAGGGUGCAAGCGUUGUCCGGAUUUAUUGGGUUUAAAGGGUGCGUAGGCGGCCUGAUAAGUCAGCGGUGAAAUCCCCUCGCUCAACGAGGGAACUGCCGUUGAUACUGUUAGGCUUGAGUUCGUGCGAGGUUGCUGGAAUGAGUGGUGUAGCGGUGAAAUGCAUAGAUAUCACUCAGAACACCGAUUGCGAAGGCAGGUGACUGGCACGCGACUGACGCUGAGGCACGAAAGUGUGGGGAGCAAACAGG
rnacentral:rRNA from 1 species